GUGUGAGGAUGAUCUGACUGCAACAUCUGUCACCCCAUUGAUUGUCAGGGUUGAUAUGGCUGAUCUGGCUGGCUGGGCGGGUGUCCCCUUCCUCCCUCACCCCUCCAUGUGCAUCUCUCCCGAAGCUGCGUGCUCAGUUGAAGAAGACAAGCUUCCCCAAUAGAGACGUACUGUUCAUCAGUCAACGGUAUAUGGUAGCUGCACGCCCCUGCUAGAACCUCCAAACAAGCUCUGGGAGCCCAGGUAAGCCCAGUGGCACCAGCCACAGCACAGGUGAGAACCUGGGGUGGGUGUAUUCCUUUGCCC
rnacentral:snRNA from 1 species